rnacentral:rRNA from 1 species
AGCGAACGCUGGCGGCAGGCCUAACACAUGCAAGUCGAACGAACUCUUCGGAGUUAGUGGCGGACGGGUGAGUAACACGUGGGAACGUGCCUUUUGGUUCGGAAUAACUCAGGGAAACUUGUGCUAAUACCGAAUGUGCCCUUCGGGGGAAAGAUUUAUCGCCAUUACAGCGGCCCGCGUCUGAUUAGCUAGUUGGUGAGGUAACGGCUCACCAAGGCGACGAUCAGUAGCUGGUCUGAGAGGAUGACCAGCCACACUGGGACUGAGACACGGCCCAGACUCCUACGGGAGGCAGCAGUGGGGAAUCUUGCGCAAUGGGCGAAAGCCUGACGCAGCCAUGCCGCGUGAAUGAUGAAGGUCUUAGGAUUGUAAAAUUCCUUCACCGGGGACGAUAAUGACGGUACCCGGAGAAGAAGCCCCGGCUAACUUCGUG